rnacentral:rRNA from 1 species
GCCCUUAGAGUUUGAUCAUGGCUCAGGACGAACGCUGGCGGCGCGCUUAACACAUGCGAGUUGAACGCUCCGCCCUCUUCUGCCCUUCGGGGCAGAGAGGAUCACGGAGAGUAGCGGACGGGUGAGUAACGCGUAGGUAACCUGCCCUGGGGAGGAGGAUAACCCUGCGAAAGCGGGGCUAAUCCUGCAUAUGUUAGGGAGUGGCCAACACACCCUAAUGAAAGGCGGCAUCAAGCCGUCGCCCCGGGAUGGGCCUGCGUCGGAUUAGCCAGCUGGUGGGGUAAAGGCCCACCAGGGCGACGAUCCGUAGCUGGUCUGAGAGGACGAUCAGCCACACUGGGACUGAGACACGGCCCAGACUCCUACGGGAGGCAGCAGUGGGGAAUCUUCCGCAAUGGGCGCAAGCCUGACGGAGCGACGCCGCGUGGAUGAAGAAGGCCUUCGGGUCGUAAAGUCCUGUCAGUGGGGAAGAAAGCGAUCAUCAAGAAAAGGUGAUCGUUGACGGUACCCGUUGAGGAACCCU